AUUGAACGCUGGCGGCAGGCCUAACACAUGCAAGUCGAACGAGUGGCGGACGGGUGAGUAAUGUCUGGGAAACUGCCUGAUGGAGGGGGAUAACUACUGGAAACGGUAGCUAAUACCGCAUACCAUCAGAUGUGCCCAGUUGGGAUUAGCUAGUUGGUGGGGUAAAGGCUCACCAAGGCGACGAUGCCUAGCUGGUCUGAGAGGAUGACCAGCCACAGUGGAACUGGGAGACGGUCAAGACUACUACGGGAGGCAGCAGUAGGGAAUAUUGCACAAUGGGCGCAAGUCUGAUGCAGCCAUGCCGAGGGUAUGAAGAAGGCCUGCGGGUUGUAAAGUAAUUUCUGCGGGUAGGCGUUACCCGCAGAAGAAGCACCGGCUAACUCAGUGCCAGCAGCCGCGGGAAUUC
rnacentral:rRNA from 1 species